rnacentral:rRNA from 1 species
UCUUGGUCAUUUAGAGGAAGUAAAAUCGUAACAAGGUCUCCGUAGGUGAACCUGCGGAGGGAUCAUUACAGAGACAUCGCCCUUACCGGGGUGACUCUCCAACCCUAUGUUAUUAAAUCUUUGUGCUUUGGCGAGCCGCCUCGGCCACCGGCCUCCGCUGGUGAGUGCUCGCAGAGGACCCCAAACUCUGUUUAUUAGUGUCGUCUGAGUACUAUAAUAAUGUUAAAACUUUCAACAACGGAUCUCUUGGUUCUGGCAUCGAUGAAGAACCAGCGAAAUGCGAUAAGUAAUGUGAAUUGCAGAAUUCAGUGAAUCAUCGAUCUUUGAACGCACAUUGCGCCCUGUGGUAUUCCGCAGGGCAUGCCUGUCGAGCGUCAGUACAACACUCAAGCUCUGCUUGGUAUUGGGCCCUGCCGGAGCGGCAGGCCUUAAAAUCAGUGGCGGCGCCAUCUGGCUCUAAGCGUAGAAUACUCCUCGCUACAGAGUUCCGGUGGAUGCUUGCCAGCAACCCCCAAUUUCUAAGUUUGACCUCGGAUCAGGUAGGGAUACCCGCUGAACUUAAGCUAUCAAUAAGCGGAGGA